GCUCCAGUGGCCUAGUGGUUACAGCGUCUGCCUCAGAUGUGGGAGAUCUUAAGUUCGAUCUUUGGCUGAGUCA